UAGGCUUCUAUAAGUCGGUCUAUUUCUAUUUACAUGAAUUACAACUUCAUGCAAAUGUAACAAAUUGGAAAAGCAGUGUGACCAUGAAAGGGGACAAAGGUAGAAGGCGGCGCAAGGGAGGAGGAGGGUGAGCUCUUGGGCUGACUUAGAACGCGCAACCAACGGUGGUCUCGCUCACCAUCGCAGCAGCGUUUUAAGCUUCUUUUUCUUUAUUUUUGUUUACUUUACUCUGUUUUUAAGAAAUUUUUUUUUUUUUUAUGUUGUUGGUUUGAUGAUUAAGGAUAAACAAAAUUCAGAAAGUCUAAUUUAAUUUGCAUAUGAAAAACUUCUAGAUUUAGAUUUGGAUUUGUGAAUAUUUGUGAGAAAAAAGAUUUUAUCUGCUUAUUUUUGUGAAUGUUUAUGAUGAGAUUUCUAGAAAGAUUAUUGCAUCUAAGAGUGGUUUAAAAGUUUUAGAACUAAGGAUUGAGAUCAGAUGAAG
rnacentral:lncRNA from 1 species